UUAAGAGUACAGCAGCAAAAACUGUGGGAAUUUUAAUUGUAUGUUAACAGUGCUACCUCAUUGGUUUGUGCCCCAACUUCCAUAUCUCUAGAACAUUAACCAACCUUAGAGCUGGUUAAUCUUUGAGUUUGAUUCUUGGCUGGGUCAACCAAACCUUGCCAAGGCUGAUAAAAUGAGUAUCUUAUACUUUGGUAAAAAUAACACUGACACCCUAUGACGCACUUGGAAAAUACUGAAAUUUAAAAUGUAUGCUUCCUCUCUUGAAACAUUGAUAUUAUUAUUAUACAUCAUAAUAAUAAUGAUUGAAAUGUGGAUUAACUUAUUUAUAUAAUAGCUAAGGAAAGCAAACAUUUGCUUGAUAAAAAAUAAUAUGCUUGACAAAG